rnacentral:rRNA from 1 species
AGCGUACACGGUGGAUGCCCUGGCAGUCAGAGGCGAUGAAGGACGUGCUAAUCUGCGAUAAGCGUCGGUAAGGUGAUAUGAACCGUUAUAACCGGCGAUUUCCGAAUGGGGAAACCCAGUGUGAUUCGUCACACUAUCAUUAACUGAAUCCAUAGGUUAAUGAGGCGAACCGGGGGAACUGAAACAUCUAAGUACCCCGAGGAAAAGAAAUCAACCGAGAUUCCCCCAGUAGCGGCGAGCGAACGGGGAGCAGCCCAGAGCCUGAAUCAGUGUGUGUGUUAGUGGAAGCGUCUGGAAAGGCGCGCGAUACAGGGUGACAGCCCCGUACACAAAAAUGCACAUACUGUGAGCUCGAUGAGUAGGGCGGGACACGUGGUAUCCUGUCUGAAUAUGGGGGGACCAUCCUCCAAGGCUAAAUACUCCUGACUGACCGAUAGUGAACCAGUACCGUGAGGGAAAGGCGAAAAGAACCCCGGCGAGGGGAGUGAAAAAGAACCUGAAACCGUGUACGUACAAGCAGUGGGAGCACAGAGCAAUCUGUGUGACUGCGUACCUUUUGUAUAAUGGGUCAGCGACUUAUAUUCUGUAGCAAGGUUAACCGAAUAGGGGAGCCGAAGGGAAACCGAGUCUUAACUGGGCGUUAAGUUGCAGGGUAUAGACCCGAAACCCGGUGAUCUAGCCAUGGGCAGGUUGAAGGUUGGGUAACACUAACUGGAGGACCGAACCGACUAAUGUUGAAAAAUUAGCGGAUGACUUGUGGCUGGGGGUGAAAGGCCAAUCAAACCGGGAGAUAGCUGGUUCUCCCCGAAAGCUAUUUAGGUAGCGCCUCGUGAAUUCAUCUCCGGGGGUAGAGCACUGUUUCGGCAAGGGGGUCAUCCCGACUUACCAACCCGAUGCAAACUGCGAAUACCGGAGAAUGUUAUCACGGGAGACACACGGCGGGUGCUAACGUCCGUCGUGAAGAGGGAAACAACCCAGACCGCCAGCUAAGGUCCCAAAGUCAUGGUUAAGUGGGAAACGAUGUGGGAAGGCCCAGACAGCCAGGAUGUUGGCUUAGAAGCAGCCAUCAUUUAAAGAAAGCGUAAUAGCUCACUGGUCGAGUCGGCCUGCGCGGAAGAUGUAACGGGGCUAAACCAUGCACCGAAGCUGCGGCAGCGACGCUUAUGCGUUGUUGGGUAGGGGAGCGUUCUGUAAGCCUGUGAAGGUGUGCUGUGAGGCAUGCUGGAGGUAUCAGAAGUGCGAAUGCUGACAUAAGUAACGAUAAAGCGGGUGAAAAGCCCGCUCGCCGGAAGACCAAGGGUUCCUGUCCAACGUUAAUCGGGGCAGGGUGAGUCGACCCCUAAGGCGAGGCCGAAAGGCGUAGUCGAUGGGAAACAGGUUAAUAUUCCUGUACUUGGUGUUACUGCGAAGGGGGGACGGAGAAGGCUAUGUUGGCCGGGCGACGGUUGUCCCGGUUUAAGCGUGUAGGCUGGUUUUCCAGGCAAAUCCGGAAAAUCAAGGCUGAGGCGUGAUGACGAGGCACUACGGUGCUGAAGCAACAAAUGCCCUGCUUCCAGGAAAAGCCUCUAAGCAUCAGGUAACAUCAAAUCGUACCCCAAACCGACACAGGUGGUCAGGUAGAGAAUACCAAGGCGCUUGAGAGAACUCGGGUGAAGGAACUAGGCAAAAUGGUGCCGUAACUUCGGGAGAAGGCACGCUGAUAUGUAGGUGAAGUCCCUCGCGGAUGGAGCUGAAAUCAGUCGAAGAUACCAGCUGGCUGCAACUGUUUAUUAAAAACACAGCACUGUGCAAACACGAAAGUGGACGUAUACGGUGUGACGCCUGCCCGGUGCCGGAAGGUUAAUUGAUGGGGUCAGCGCAAGCGAAGCUCUUGAUCGAAGCCCCGGUAAACGGCGGCCGUAACUAUAACGGUCCUAAGGUAGCGAAAUUCCUUGUCGGGUAAGUUCCGACCUGCACGAAUGGCGUAAUGAUGGCCAGGCUGUCUCCACCCGAGACUCAGUGAAAUUGAACUCGCUGUGAAGAUGCAGUGUACCCGCGGCAAGACGGAAAGACCCCGUGAACCUUUACUAUAGCUUGACACUGAACAUUGAGCCUUGAUGUGUAGGAUAGGUGGGAGGCUUUGAAGUGUGGACGCCAGUCUGCAUGGAGCCGACCUUGAAAUACCACCCUUUAAUGUUUGAUGUUCUAACGUUGACCCGUAAUCCGGGUUGCGGACAGUGUCUGGUGGGUAGUUUGACUGGGGCGGUCUCCUCCUAAAGAGUAACGGAGGAGCACGAAGGUUGGCUAAUCCUGGUCGGACAUCAGGAGGUUAGUGCAAUGGCAUAAGCCAGCUUGACUGCGAGCGUGACGGCGCGAGCAGGUGCGAAAGCAGGUCAUAGUGAUCCGGUGGUUCUGAAUGGAAGGGCCAUCGCUCAACGGAUAAAAGGUACUCCGGGGAUAACAGGCUGAUACCGCCCAAGAGUUCAUAUCGACGGCGGUGUUUGGCACCUCGAUGUCGGCUCAUCACAUCCUGGGGCUGAAGUAGGUCCCAAGGGUAUGGCUGUUCGCCAUUUAAAGUGGUACGCGAGCUGGGUUUAGAACGUCGUGAGACAGUUCGGUCCCUAUCUGCCGUGGGCGCUGGAGAACUGAGGGGGGCUGCUCCUAGUACGAGAGGACCGGAGUGGACGCAUCACUGGUGUUCGGGUUGUCAUGCCAAUGGCACUGCCCGGUAGCUAAAUGCGGAAGAGAUAAGUGCUGAAAGCAUCUAAGCACGAAACUUGCCCCGAGAUGAGUUCUCCCUGACCCUUUGA